UUUUUAGAGAGUUUGAUCCUGGCUCAGGAUGAACGCUGGCGGCGUGCUUAACACAUUCAAGUCGAACGAAGCAUUUUUGGGAAGUCCUUCGGGGCGGAAGAGAGAUGACUGAGUGGCGGACGGGUGAGUAACGCGUGAGCAAUCUGCCUAUGCGAGGGGAACAACAGCCGGAAACAGCUGCUAAUACCGCAUGACACAUCGGGUCCGCAUGGAGCUGAUGUCAAAGAAUAAAAUCGCGCAUAGAUGAGCUCGCGUCCCAUUAGAUAGUUGGUGAGGUAACGGCCCACCAAGUCGACGAUGGGUAGCCGGACUGAGAGGUUGGACGGCCACAUUGGAACUGAGAAACGGUCCAGACUCCUACGGGAGGCAGCAGU
rnacentral:rRNA from 1 species